CAGAAAAUAAGUAUUUAGCCAAUGAGAAAAGUUCACUUCUGUUAUGUAACCUUGGUUAGUGGUUCAUCCAAGCGGUCUCUGGCAGGCUUUAGAUGGCCCUGGACAAGCAGACGGACCUUUUGAGUGCUGCAGAGUUUUAAUCCAUAAUAAUGUGUCUUACUAGUAACCUUUGUUACUGUGAUCCCAGCUUUCUUCAGGUCACUGACCAGCUCCCCUUGUGUAGUUCUGGGUGGUUUUCUCACUGUUCUCCAGAUCAUUUUUGCCCCACGAGGUGAGAUGGAGCCCCAGCUGUAUUUAUUCCAUUUCUUGAUAAUUGCUCCAACAGUUGAUCUUUUCUUAACAAGCUGCUCGACUGUUGUAGACUGGCUGAUCCCAGUCUUGUGCAGGUCCUUAGACGGCUCUCUGCUCUCGGUCAUUGUGGAGGUUGGAGUCUGACUGUUCAAACGGGCACCGUUAUUACAGAUUACAAGGGUAUGAAAGAAGGGCUUAGGAAACAGACAGCUGCUGUAACAGCACGACUCAAAUCAAAGCUGACGGAGAAGGUUCAGUGUCCAUCAGGUGUCCGUAUGAGUCAGAGAAUGAAGACAGCCUGAAGUACAUCUGCAGAGGGAAGCAGCCCUCCACCUGCCUGCAGCGGGCUCUAAUCACCUCCAGCAGGCAGAGCGGACGAUUCAGUUUCACUGAUGACAAGAAGUCAAGAACAUUCACGAUCACCAUUUACAAUCUGACGCUGGAGGAUUCUGGGUCGUAUCUGUGUGGAGUCCAAAGUGACUCAGGACUGGAUGAUUUCUCUGCUGUUGAACUGGAGGUCAAAGAAUGGUGCUGUGUGAUCCCAAAGAACAUGACAGGAGUUGUGGGACAAUCAGUAACGGUGCAGUGUCCUUAUCCACCUGAGGACCAUAACAACAGGAAGUUCAUCUGCAAAGGAAACAAACACGACUGUAGAGACGUGAUGAUGAUGAUGAUGAUGAUGAGCCAAAACAGGUUCAUGCUACACGACGAGUCCUCCAGUUCUUUCUCCGUGACCAUCACAAACCUGGAAGCCAGUGACACUGGGACGUUCUGGUGUCGCUCUGACUCAGAGUGGAGAGUUGGAAACUACACCCAGUUUCAUCUGUCUGUAGUUUCCCCACCGCUUCCUGAGACAGGUGCUGUUUUUUAUGUGCUUCUUUCUACACCUGCUGCUCUUCUGCUGAUACCGGUUGUGGUCGUUCUGGUUAUGGUCUGCAAACACCGAUGCUCCAAAGUGAAAGAACCAGAAGUCAUCGUGGACAGAAACAACAUUGAGGCUGAAAACAAUCAUGAACAGGUGAGAAACUGAGGUGAUAUUAACAAACUCUGCUUGGUCAGAUGAUUUAAAAUAUCUGACACCUAUAUUUUACCAUAGCACUUUUUUUAUAAAGUGCUUAUAACAAGGCAUUACAGCCAACGAAAGAGCAGCACAUAAUAAAAUACACAAAGCAUAAAACAGUUGCAUUUAAACUAUAUAAAAAUUAUACAACAAAAUACAGUUAAUCAAGCAAGCUGGAACCAAUAAAAACAGACUGCGGAUUUUAAAUUAAAGAACCAAAGUGGAAGGGGGAUAAUGAGGAGUAUUGCUUUAAGAAUCGAAGGCCCAUCUUCAAAACGGGGUCCAUUUUACUCCCAGGUUUGAAGUCUAGGAUGUUACAUGAGGAGAAAGAGUGGAGGCCAGGUGACUGGGUCGCUCUAAUGUUGUUGGGACUAAAAACAUUGACCUCCGUUUUAAUAAUAAUAAUAAUAAUACAUUUUAUUUCAAAGCGCCUUUCAGGACACCCAAGGUCACUUUACACAACACACGUAAUAAAAUACAAUAAAACAAUAAUAAAACCCAAAGAAGAAAAAACAGAGAGAAACAUUUCAAUAAAAUCAGAGGUUGUAGGCAGAUUUAAACAUGUGUGUUUUGAGUUUUGAUUGGAAAAGGGUAAAACUGUCGAUGUUCCUGAUGUCUGGGGGAAGUGAGUUCCAGAGUCGAGGAGCAGAGCGGCUGAAAGCUCUGCUCCCCAUGGUAGCGAGACGGGCAGAAGGAACCGCAAGAUGGAUGGAAGAAGAAGAUCUGAGUGAACGGGACGGGGUGUGAAUACUUAUAAGGUCUGAGAUAUAUGGAGGAGAGAGGUUGUGGAUUGCUUUGAAGGUAUGGAGGAGAAUUUUGAAGAUGGGCCUGAAUUUAACUGGGAGCCAGUGGAGCUGCUGGAGAACCGGCGUGAUGUGGUGAAAGGAAGGGGUUCUGGUGAUAAUACGGGCUGCUGAAUUCUGGACCAGUUGCAGUUUAUGAAGGAGUUUGUUGGGGAGACCAUAAAGAAGUGAAUUGCAAUAGUCGAGACGGGAGGUGACGAGGCUGUGGACGAGAAUGGCGGCAGUGUGAGGGGUCAGUGAGGGACGAAGACGGUUUAUGGAACGUAGAUGGAAGUAUGCUGACCGAAUUAAGUUAUUAAUGUGAGCCUGAAAAGAAAGGGAGCUGUCGAGAAUGACACCCAGACUCUUGACAUGAGGUGAGGGGGAGACUGUGGCACUGUCAAUAGUUAAAGAAAAGCUGUCAGAUGUUGAGAGGGUGGAGUUAGUGCCAACUAGAAGAAGUUCAGUUUUAUUGCCGUUGAGUUUGAGGAAAUUAGAGGUGAACCAUGAUUUGAUUUCAGAGAGGCAGAGUGUAAGGGAGGAUGGUGGGAGAGUUGAGUUGGGCUUACUGGAAAUGUAGAGCUGGGUGUCAUCUGCAAAGCAGUGAAACUGGAUAUUGAAUUUGCGGAAGAUUUUGCCGAUAGGGAGGAGAUAUACUAUGAAGAGGAGGGGCCCCAGGACAGAGCCCUGGGGCACACCUGACUUGACUGGGGAGGGUUCUGAGGUAAAGGAUUUUAACUGGAUGAACUGAGUGCGGCCAGUAAGGUAAGAUUGAAACCAGCGGAGGGGGGUGUGAGUGAUGCCUAAGGAAUAGAGUCUAUUAAGGAGGAUGGGAUGAGAAAUGGUGUCAAAGGCCGCACUCAGAUCGAGGAGAAUAAGAAUAGAGAUUAAACCAGAAUCAGCAGCAAUGAGUAGGUCGUUAGUGAUCUUGAUGAGAGCUGUUUCUGUGCUGUGGUGGGGACGGAAGCCAGACUGAAACUGUUCAUAAAGGUUAUUGCGGGUGAGAUGUGAAUGGAGCUGA
ensembl:lncRNA